UACGUAGGGGGCAAGCGUUGUCCGGAAUUAUUGGGCGUAAAGAGCUCGUAGGCGGUCUGUCGCGUCGGCUGUGAAAUCCCGAGGCUCAACCUCGGGUCUGCAGUCGAUACGGGCAAACUGGAGUGUUGCAGGGGAGACUGGAAUUCCUGGUGUAGCGGUGGAAUGCGCAGAUAUCAGGAGGAACACCGAUGGCGAAGGCAGAUCUCUGGGCCGUAACUGACGCUGAGGAGCGAAAGCAUGGGGAGCGAACAGG
rnacentral:rRNA from 1 species